UCUUUGGUAGUAUAGUGGUUAGUAUACCCGCCUGUCAUUACCGUCCAGUGACUGCCCGCGGGUGACCGGGGUUCAAUUCCCCGCCAGAGAG